GACGAACGCUGGCGGCGUGCUUAACACAUGCAAGUCGAACGGAAAGGCCCUGCUUUUGUGGGGUGCUCGAGUGGCGAACGGGUGAGUAACACGGGAGUAACCUGCCCUUGACUUUGGGAUAACUUCAGGAAACUGGGGCUAAUACCGGAUAGGAGCUCCUGCUGCAUGGUGGGGGUUGGAAAGUUUCGGCGGUUGGGGAUGGACUCGCGGCUUAUCAGCUUGUUGGUGGGGUAGUGGCUUACCAAGGCUUUGACGGGUAGCCGGCCUGAGAGGGUGACCGGCCACAUUGGGACUGGGAUACGGCCCAGACUCCUACGGGAGGCAGCAGUGGGGAAUAUUGCACAAUGGGCGGAAGCCUGAUGCAGCAACGCCGCGUGCGGGAUGACGGCCUUCGGGUUGUAAACCGCUUUCGCCUGUGACGAAGCGUGAGUGACGGUAAUGGGUAAAGAAGCACCGGCUAACUACGUG
rnacentral:rRNA from 1 species